CAAUAGCGUAUAUUAAAGUUGUUGCGGUUAAAAAGCUCGUAGUUGGAUUUCUGCCGAGGACGACCGGUCCGCCCUCUGGGUGAGUAUCUGGUUCGGCCUGGGCAUCUUCUUGGAGAACGUAUCUGCACUUGACUGUGUGGUGCGGUAUCCAGGACUUUUACUUUGAGGAAAUUAGAGUGUUUCAAGCAGGCACACGCCUUGAAUACAUUAGCAUGGAAUAAUAAGAUAGGACCUUGGUUCUAUUUUGUUGGUUUCUAGAGCUGAGGUAAUGAUUAAUAGGGACAGUUGGGGCGAUUCGAUAUUUCAUUGUCAGAGGUGAAAUUCUUGGAUUUAUGAAAGAUUGAACUUCAUGCGAAAGCAUUUGCCAAGGAU
rnacentral:rRNA from 1 species